AUAUAGAAGCAGAACUACCAGGGUGUGUGUGUGUGUAUGUGUGUGUUAGUUCUACUUUAAUUCCGGGUUAUCUUCCGAAGCUGCUUCUUUUCUGCUCCCUUCUUUAGGUAUGGGACAUGGCUAUCUUGGGGCUUCUUUUCAUUGCUUCUUGGAUCUAUCCUCUUUCUGGAUGUAAUCCCCACUUCCUCUUCUUUUACUUUUAUGUACAUAUGUAUGGAUGUCUGUGUUAGGGUGGUUGUUGAGAAGACAUGAUUGUUGAUUGACCCCUGAGCUGGACCCUGACAAUCAGAGGCUCCUUGCACCCCUCCCUUGUCCUUGGAAUAUGGGUUCCACUUGCCUUCCCCGCUGCCAGAACCUACUCCAACGACGCACCACAGUGAUGUGGUGCAGAGACCAUCUGGACUGUAUACAUGACUGAACCCAGUGAGGGCCACUACAUAAACUUGUGAGAUUUGGUGAGCAGGUACAGAGAUCAACUAAUCUUGUUGCCACCCAAGACAAACCUUGUAGUCAUGUGAAAAUACAACAAGAUAGCAGUCAUUUGCAAGAGAGCUCUCACUGGGAACCAAAUUGGCCACCUUUAUCUUGGGCUCCUUGGACUCCAGAACUGUGAGAGAGAACUGGUGGGAAGAUCUUUCAUCCUGAUGGGUAUGAUCAGUCCUUGCAUCUGAACACCAGCUGACUAACUUCCUUCUGAGAGGAGUAAAGGGAACGAGCUAGAGUCUUGACACCAGCUCACACGGAGCACCUUCUCUACAUCUCAAGCCAUUUCUCAUCAGCCUGUCUUUGGCAGUUUCUUCCGGGACUACUGGAGAUUUAGCUGGACCGUCUGGAAGUGGGGGUGCAUGGUGUGAGGGAGUAGUUACAGGCAACCGAGGCAGGGAGUGAGAACAGUCGUGCCCAGUGGUGUGCUGAUAAAUGCUUAACAACCAGCUCUUGGGGGCGGAGGAGGACCCUUGACUGGAGACAUCUGCUGAUCUCUGUGGUGUCAAUACUCUCACCCCAACCCAUUUCAUGCCACCAAUAGGAUGUCCAGCGGCUCACACAGUUCCCGAAGACUUAGCAGCCAUCUCAUGCAAGCUGGUAGACGUCUUCCCCAGCACAUCACUGGUCCCGCUGUCUCUGGAGGCUUAGAAACCCAAGUCGCCAUGAUGCCUUUUACCAUCAGCCACAGUGGAACUGGGUAUCUUGCCUCCCUGUGCCUCAGGUGGCCAGGAAUGUGGGUUUCUCUGGUGCCAGCAUAGGUCACUAAUGCAGAAGUUAGGUACUGGGGAAUCCCGUGGAGCUCUGGAGAAUUCCUUUGAGCUCAGCGAGUGCCACGUGGCUUGUCUGGUGGCACCCCACAGUCAGAUGCAGGAAGAAGGGAGGGCAAGUGAAAAGCCACUGCAGUCACUCGGAAAAGCCAGGGAUUGAUCUAGCUCUCCCCGGCUACCAGGGAUAUAGAUUGCAGCUCCUCUCACCGGCUGGAAGGUUUCGGAUAUUGUUAAUGCACGCCUCAGAUGUCUGUGGUAACGAAUGGCUAACACAUACCGAGCUUCAUUAACAGUCCAGGCACUGUGCUGGCUGUUCUAUGGGCAUCUCCACAACAUCCUUAGGAGCCAGGAAGGAGUGUGGAAGCCCAGAUAGCGUGGACCCCGAGGAUGGAGGCAAAUGUCACCCUCUGUUACGGGAGUGAAUUAAAUCCUGUCAAUGGGGGAAGAGCUCCGUCUCCGAGAAAGGAACCCACUGUCGGGAGCAGUCGGUGUCCUCAUUGCUGGUAAGCACAGAGGGUCCUGUGGCUGUCACUAAGAACCCAGGUGCUCUCUGGAAUGCUGUAAGGAAGACACCAGUGCAAGGUAAGCGACAAUCUCAGGAGCUGUAAGACCCUGUCACGGGUCCUGUUGCAAUGACAGAGGAGGUUAAUGACUGAGAAAGAAUUAGGGACCUAGGCAGAACAGACUGAAGCAAGCCAGGUUGUCUCCCCCAAUUCAUGGAAGAUGCAAUUUCAAGCAGGCCGUGCUGACUGCAUAGACAGAAGGCUCCAUACCCUGGAAAAAAGCUUCUUCGUGGAGUUUUCCUUGCUUGAUUGGCUGUGCCUUAAGUGCUCCCUCUCACUGCCUUCUGUGACUCUGAGGCACAAUCUGGUACCUGCUUAUCUUUCUAGCCUCCUUCUCUCCACCACAUCAAACCUAUAACUCAUUUUCCAUCCUCUGUGUCUUUGUUCACCUACUGCUCUCCUUGGAAUGACCCCACCCCCAACCUUGGGUACAAACCUUCACACCUCCUUCAAAAUGCAGCUCGCCUCCUCCUUUGGUUCUGGUUCCUUCCCCACUCCCUCCACCCCCUUCUGGAAGUAUUCCUCCCUCCCCUGCACUCCCCUAGCAGCCCUUCUGCGUCUUUCUUGUCCACAUUUUUAUCUGUAUCAUAUCUAUGUGCAAGGAAGCUUCUCGAGGGCAUGACCCAUGUAGAACUUAUGGCUGUACCCACCAGGGCAUCUGCCUUGGUGCCUUGCUCAUAAUAAGGAUUCGGAAUAUAUUUGCUGAGCAGAAUUUUUAAUCUUAUUUUGGGUGUGAACCUACCCCCCCUCCAAAAUUAAAUUUGGGCAAUGACCCUAAUGGGUCACUGCUGGGCAUGCCUCUGUGGUUGCAAAGGUUACCAGCCAGUACCUUGUAAGUUUGAUGGUUAUGCGUUCAUCCCCAAAUAUGUGCUUAUCCCUAGGUGAACCAAUAAAAUUUAAUUUAUUAAUCUGCAAAACUGAGACCCAGACAGACUCUGACCUUUGGUGAACCCACCGCAUAAAACAACACCCCCCCCCCCCCCCACACACACACAGAGAAAGCACCACCUAAGGCAGAGUGAUGCUUCUGGUUAACCUUCUGAAUGUCAAUCUUCCAUAGCACUUUUGCAUUAGAUGCAAGAGCCUCAAUUAGAUGAGGAAAGUCCGUGAUAAUGUGUUCAGUGCUACACUUCAAAAUGAUUAAGCACAGAGUCUAGCCGUGCAGGGGAUCCCAGACAUCUAAAUGUGCUGUUGUGUUGAAUUUCAAGUACCUUUUCUUGGUCUGCCUUGUAAAAAUUGCCUCAGUCGGUUUAAUUUCGACUCAGCUGAGCAGCAGGAAAGGUGAGGGCUGAGCUGCCAAAGUUGCAAAGGGAGUGAGAGUACCUACCCCCUUACAGGAGAAAUGCAGCAGCUCAGCUGCGAAGAGGACAUUCACCUGUUGUUCCCGUGGGGAUGGGGGCGGGGGCAAAGCGAACUGGCAGAGCUCAAGGAGAGAGGGUGGCACAUUACCAACAAGGCUGCCAGGGCCCGCUGCAGCCCCCGGACCCACACAGCCCCACAGCCCCAGCACCCCCAGUUAGCACCUUGCAAACACAUCAGCUGAUCCUAGCAGCGCCCGGAGGGGAGGGGCUCGCCCUGCUUCUUCCAGUGUGCUCGUACUUUCCCUUUCUCUGCACUUUCUCUGCAGUCCUGCCCUCUAAUAACUUGCAGGAGUCCUUGCCCCUGCUUCCCCACACUGCUCCGGAGGCAGUGGGAGCUUCACGCAGUCCUCCAGGCUCAAGAACCAGUUUUGUCUGGAGUCAGGGGUGAUUGAAUUUGUGCUCAUGCAUAGUUCGAGAAAUGUGGCCUUGAGGCAAACAUGCCGCCAACAGGCUUCGGUGUCUUUGCUCGUUUUAUUUAUUUAUUUUUAAAUUUGCAAUUUAUACAUUUUUUAAAAUUUAAAUUCAACUAAUUAAUGUAUAAUGUCUUAUUGGUUUCAGAGGUAGAGGUCAGUGAUUCAUCAGUAUUAUAUAACACCCAGUGCUCAUUACAUCAUGUGCCCUCCUUAAUGCCCAUCACCCAGUUACCCCAUCCCCCCAGCCCCUCUCCUCCAGCAGCCCUCAGUUUGCUUCGUGAGAUUAAGAGUCUCUUAUGCUCUGUCUCCCUCUCUGGUUUCGUCUUGUUUUAUUUUUUCUUCUCUUCCCCUAUGGUCCUAUUUUGUUUCUUAAAUUCCACAUAUCAGUGAGAUCAUACGAUACAUGUCUUUCUCUGACUGACUUAUUUCGCUCAGCAUAAUACCCUCUGGUUCCAGUCACGUCAUUGCAAAUGGCAAGAUUUCAUUCUUUUUGAUGGCUGUGUAAUAUUCCUCCUUGCUCAUUUUAGAUGGGAGUCCACUCUGUGUGACCCAGCCUCCACCCUUAUCUCUGCGUGACCUGGGACAGCAACAAGAGCCAGUGUCAUCGAGCCUACCUGCCAGGCCUCGCUGAAAGCGUCUCACAGAUUGUCCUACUGAUUUCACCCUUUUGAUGGUCAUGUGGGUAGGAGCUCUUUUUCCCACAUUUUACCCAUGAGUAAACGGAGGCCUCGAAGGGUUAACUAUUUGGCCCAAGUGGGCUUUCAGUCCCACUGCCUUUUCUUUUUGCGGUCUACACCACCUUACUCAUCUCCUUUAGCCCGUCUUCAGUCCCUCCACUAAGCCUUAUAGCUGUGUCUUCACUGGCUGCCACAUGGAUGGGCCACGGGCUCCCAGAGGGCUCCAGAAACAGAUUUCUAGUCUCCUCACUGCACUGGGCUCUCUUUACGCUGAUCCUGGAGGCCCUCCUAGUACCCUCCCUCGGCUCCUCACUAACUCCAUGUUAAAGGUCAGCUUCUUUCCCAGGCAUCUGAGGACUGUAACCCUCAUCAGAAUUCCCGGCUCCUUCCCACCAUGCCCCAAGUGGACCGUGCGGUCACCCUGACUCCUCACCAUUCCACAAACACGUCAUGCACUGUGGGCCUCUGGAUUUUUUUCUCAAGAUUUUAUUUAUUUAUUUGAGAGAGGGAGAAAGAGAGAGAGAGAGGCAGAGGGAGAGGGAGAAGCAGACCCCGCGGAGCAAGGAGCCCGAUGAGGGACUCGAUCCCAGGACCCUGGGAUCAUGAUCUGAGCCCAAGGCAGAUGCUUAAUUGACUGAGCCACCCAGGCGCCCUGCCUCUGGAUUUUGCACAUGCUCUUUCUCCCUCAGAGAAUACUCUGCCCUCCUUCUCACUCUUCUUAAUCCCUCGGAGCCCUUCUAAAUGCCCUCUCCUUGGACAGUUUUCCUUGUGCCCCCUCAGUUCUGCUGUGUUCCUACUGGCCAAGUAGCCCAGUCACCUGUGUCUGUGAAUGUUGUUCACACCGCACUGUGACUCGUUGGGAGCAGGGACCCCGUGUUACCCAUGUUUGAAUUGCCAGGGCCCCGCAUAGUGCACAGUCCCAGCAGACAGAUGUCUAUAUGAAGUUCAUUCAAAGUGUGUUCACAUUCAGUGUGUUAUUUGAUCUUGACAAUAAGACUGUGGAGAAGAAGGGAGUUUAAGUGAUGGGGAGAAGGGGUAAGAACCUAGGAAAUAAGGCAGUACUCCGCCAGGAAAAGCCAGGAAGGUGGCAUGAUUCCCUCUGUUAGUCUGCACGGGCUGCCAUAACCAAGUACCACAGACAGAGUGGCUUACACAACAGAGAUUUAUUUUCUCACAGCUCUGGAGGCUUGAAGUCCUACGUCAAAACGUUGACGGGGUUGGUUUCUUCUGAGGCCACUCUCCUUGCCUUAGAGAUGGCUGUCUUCUCCCCGGGUCCUCACAGGCCCUCUGUUGGUAUGUCUGUGCCCAAAUUUCUUCUUCUAAGGACACCAGCCAUUUUGGAUUAGGGACCAGUAGUUUGGUCUCAUUAACUUAAACACCUUUUUAAAGGCUCUAUCGCUAACUACAGUCACAUUCUCAGGUACUAGGGGUUAGACUUCAACAUACGAAUUUGGGGGACCCAAUUCAGGCUACAACAUUCUGUGUGGCCGAUGGGAAGGGGACGAAGGUCCCAUGGGUGGUGUUCUGACCAGCACUGAACACUGCUGGUAGAGGGGGUCGCCCUCACCAUCCCCACCCCUCUGCCUUCCUACAAGGCCUACGGGCACCCAGUAGAGGACAGAGCCUCAGCCAUCACCAUCCUUCCAGCCUCCUCACAAGGCCCAAGUCUACCAGUGGUCCGCAGGUAUCUCAAACUCCCGGCCAUCUUACUUUGGACAGACGGCCUUGCUGAGGGUGCCUCUCUGACUGUCCUCCUGCAGGGAGGCCCUCCCUUCCUCCAGAUGCCUUCAUAAAGGCCAACCCUCCAAGGCCCUCUGCACCGGUCUCCGUGCACGCAGCCCCUGCCUCCUGGACGUGCUGCCACCGACUGCGGGUAUUCCUCCCUUUUGUUCUUGGUGAAAUCUCUUGUUCUCUAAUCAUUAGCCUGUGUGGUCUUGUCACUCCAGCAGCAUUGCCAACUCCCUGAAAGCUGCACUGUGCUGCAUCCUUUGCUUCCUCACAGCCCCUGACUCGGAGCUGGCCCCCUGGUAGGCGCUCAGUAAAUACUGGUUCAAAUCAACUGAAAUGCAUAGCCAUGCUUUGGUUCCAUGCACUCCCUUAACAGAAUUAAAAACAAAACCUAAACUUUGGGAGCAAAGCCCCGGUCUAACAUUUUCUCCAGCCUUCCUGCGAUUUCCUCCUUCCUCACUCUUCUAAAGGCUGACGUGUGCAGGGGGCGUGGAGGGUGGUCUCGGGCACGUCGGAAGAGGCAGCUAACCCACUGUGCCACUGCUCCUGGCUCCCCCUCCCCCUCUGUCGUCCCCUGUCCUCUCUGGGUGCCCGCCUCAUACACGGCCUUUCUCUCUCCUCAGCCCUUCCUCUCCAAACACAUGGCAACUCCUUGCAGGGCAGAGCACCAGGGACAGGGGUCCUGUCGGGCCAGGUGUCCUGCUUCUCUGAAAGGGGUACUCUCUGUCCCACCAGAGGUGUGGCAUUGCUUGCUUCUCCCAAUUCCUCCCUGUGCCUCAGGCCAAUUUUUAUGCCAAAAUAGGUCUCUGAAGCCCUAGUCUAUAGCUGAGUGCCUUGAAAAAUACCUUCCCUUCCCUUAUAAAAUAAGUUAGGAGAACACUACUAUUUUCCUCUUGGGAAUUCACAAUCUAAAUAUACGUAUUAAAGGCUCUGAGAAGUCCUGCAGUAAAGAAGCCUGCUUACCUUCCCCUUGCCUGACCUUCCCUACUUUGUGAUUACACUCCCCAUGACCCCUGCAUAGCUCCUCCUCACAGGACACCUCUCAGUAUGCUGGGGACUCAUUUGGACUUCGGGGCUUACAAGAAGGGCAGCAAGUAGAAAGUGGAAAUGGGACCGUCUGGAGAGGUGCUGUGACAGCAGCAGGGGGAGACAGGGCCCAGCGUGCUGCCUGUCUGUGGGCUCUCAGAGCUAUCUGGGAAGUGGGAAGAAGCAAGACUCCCGGGGCCCACCUCCUGUGCAAUGGCCAGAGGCAGGAGGGAAAAUGAGGUUUCUUAAGUCGAGGCAACAGCAGGGCUGUUGGCGGCAUUGCUGCCUCCCCUCCAGUGCUCCCUGCUUACCUCUCAGCCUGGCUGGGCAAUGACCCUGAACCCUGAGAGCUCAGCCCACGGCUCUGGCCAAGAGUCAGGGAAGUGGAGCCCCGAGCUGUUGUCAGGUGCACCUGCGGCAGGAGAUGGGGCAGGCUUGGGCUUUGGUAUUCUGUUCAGAAAGGCUGUCAGGACUCAUAUCAAUGGAUUGAUAUUCUGCUGAUGAAAUUUCUUCCUGUGGCUUCAGGAAAGAGCCUGGGAGGUGGAGUAGAAGGGAAACAGCUCCAGAUCUCAGUGGCAGCAGUAACCUCCUCUUGAGCAUGCGGAGCGGGUGCUGAGGCUUUUGCGGGGAGCUGGGGGGGCAGUCAGUGUCCCCAGAGCGAGAGCACUAGGCUGUCUGUGCAUUCCUAAAGUGCCUCCCUUGUUCCCCUCUUUCCUCCCAGCCCCAU